rnacentral:rRNA from 1 species
GUUAGGAAUAUUGGACAAUGGGCGAAAGCCUGAUCCAGCCAUGCCGCGUGAACGAUGAAGGCCUUCGGGUUGUAAAGUUCUUUAGCCGAUGAUUAUAAUGACUGUAGUCGGAAAAUAAGCCCCGGCUAACUUCGUGCCAGCAGCCGCGGUAAUACGAAGGGGGCGAGCGUUAUUCGGAAUCACUGGGCGUAAAGCGUGCGUAGGCGGUUUUGUAAGUUAGGAGUGAAAGCCCAGGGCUCAACCUUGGAAUUGCUCUUAAAACUGCAAGGCUCGAAUCUCGGAGAGGAUAGCGGAAUUUCCAGUGUAGCAGUGAAAUGCGUAGAUAUUGGAAGGAACACCAGUGGCGUAAGCGGCUAUCUGGACGAGUAUUGACGCUGAGGCACGAAAGCGUGGGGAUCAAACAGGAUUAGAAACCCCGGUAGUCC